UACGUAGGCAGCAAGCGUUGUUCGGAGUUACUGGGCGUAAAGGGUGUGUAGGCGGUUGUUUAAGUUUGGUGUGAAAUCUCCCGGCUCAACUGGGAGGGUGCGCCGAAUACUGAAUGACUAGAGUGCGGGAGAGGAAAGUGGAAUUCCUGGUGUAGCGGUGAAAUGCGUAGAUAUCAGGAGGAACACCUGCGGUGUAGACGGCUUUCUGGACCAUUGUUGACGCUGAGACACGAAAGCGUGGGUAGCAAACAGG
rnacentral:rRNA from 1 species